rnacentral:rRNA from 1 species
AUUGAACGCUGGCGGCAGGCCUAACACAUGCAAGUCGAGCGAGCGGCGGACGGGUGAGUAAUGUAUGGGGACUGCCCGAUAGAGGGGGAUAACUACUGGAAGCGGUAGCUAAUACCGCAUCCUCUCGGAUAACCCAUAUGGGGUUAGCUAGUAGGUGAGGUAAUGGCUCACCUAGGCGACGAUCCUGAGCUGGUCUGCGAGGCUGAUCAGCAAACCUGGACCGGAGACCGGGCCCAGAUUCCUACGGAGGAAGCAGUGGGGAUUAUUGGACAAGGGGGGAAGGCCUGAUGCAGAAAGGCCGGUGGGAUGAGGAAGUCCCUAGGUUUGUAAAGUACGUUCAGUCGGGAGACGUUACCGAAAGAAGAAGCACCGGCUAACUCCGUGCCAGCAGCCGCGGUAAUAC